rnacentral:rRNA from 1 species
UAGUCCACGCCCUAAACGAUGUCAACUAGGUGUUGGGGAAGGAGACUUCUUUAGUACCGUAGCUAACGCGUGAAGUUGACCGCCUGGGGAGUACGGUCGCAAGAUUAAAACUCAAAGGAAUUGACGGGGACCCGCACAAGCGGUGGAUUAUGUGGAUUAAUUCGAUGCAACGCGAAAACCUUACCUACCCUUGACAUGCCAAGAAUAUUUCAGAGAUGAGAUAGUGCCUUCGGGAACUUGGACACAGGUGCUGCAUGGCUGUCGUCAGCUCGUGUCGUGAGAUGUUGGGUUAAGUCCCGCAACGAGCGCAACCCUUGUCAUUAAUUGCCAUCAUUUAGUUGGGCACUUUAAUGAGACUGCCGGUGAUAAACCGGAGGAAGGUGGGGAUGGCGUCAAGUCCUCAUGGGCCUUUAUGGUCUGGGGCUGCACACGUCCUACAAUGGCAUGUACAAAGGGGAAGCAACCUCGUGAGAGCAAGCAAAUCCCAUAAAGCAUG